AAUCCAUAGGUUAAUGAGGCGAACCGGGGGAACUGAAACAUCUAAGUACCCCGAGGAAAAGAAAUCAACCGAGAUUCCCCCAGUAGCGGCGAGCGAACGGGGAGGAGCCCAGAGCCUGAAUCAGCAUGUGUGUUAGUGGAAGCGUCUGGAAAGGCGCGCGAUACAGGGUGACAGCCCCGUACACAAAAGCGCAUGUGCUGUGAGCUCGAUGAGUAGGGCGGGACACGUGGUAUCCUGUCUGAAUAUGGGGGGACCAUCCUCCAAGGCUAAAUACUCCUGACUGACCGAUAGUGAACCAGUACCGUGAGGGAAAGGCGAAAAGAACCCCGGCGAGGGGAGUGAAAAAGAACCUGAAACCGUGUACG
rnacentral:rRNA from 5 species